CCGAUAUAAUGCUUCGCUUCAGGAAAACUCACGCGCAAGCAGCUUCUGUGGCAAAGAAGUCUAGCUGCACAUACCAGUACCAGAAACGAAGAGCCGAGAUGUCAAAGUUUGAUAACCUCUGGCUCGGAGUAUUUUUUUGUUGCCUUGGCCUGCCUGCCACUCUUAAAUUACUGCCAGGUGCUGAAGCACGUCAUCCUGAUUCGGAAGAGGCGGACAAUACUGCAAUUUCGAAAUGGGGAGUGGAAAAGUCCCUAGUGAAAUGUCCGCCUUCGUAUUAGCCUGGGAUGAGGACAUGGGACUGAACGGCCAGUUGAGGUACUUCAUAAAGAGAGAGGAAGAGGAGGGUCUCUUCUCUCUGUCCCUCAGUGGCACCUUUCGCAUUCUACAGAGCUUGGACAGGGAAGCAAAAGCACUUUAUACCUUAGAUAUCGUAGCUGUCGACUCAGUGUACUAAUUGCCAGCUGGAGCAGGUGGCAGCAGCGCACCCUUCAUACCCACACACCGUUUUCAGUUAGCCAUUUUUUUUUGCCUCUCCAUUACGAAUCUGCUACCCUUGCACCUCACUCAGUACGUUUGAGCAGCAGAUGGCGCCAGAGCAGGACAUGGCGCUGGAGCAGGACAUGGGGCCAGGACAGAAGGUGGCGUCGGAGCAGGAGGUGCCAGGGGAGCUGGGAGCGCCAGGGGAGCACUU
ensembl:lncRNA